GGGUUGUGAGGUUAAGCGACUAAGCGUACACGGUGGAUGCCCUGGCAGUCAGAGGCGAUGAAGGACGUGCUAAUCUGCGAUAAGCGUCGGUAAGGUGAUAUGAACCGUUAUAACCGGCGAUUUCCGAAUGGGGAAACCCAGUGUGUUUCGACACACUAUCAUUAACUGAAUCCAUAGGUUAAUGAGGCGAACCGGGGGAACUGAAACAUCUAAGUACCCCGAGGAAAAGAAAUCAACCGAGAUUCCCCCAGUAGCGGCGAGCGAACGGGGAGGAGCCCAGAGCCUGAAUCAGUGUGUGUGUUAGUGGAAGCGUCUGGAAAGGCGCGCGAUACAGGGUGACAGCCCCGUACACAAAAAUGCACAUAUUGUGAGCUCGAUGAGUAGGGCGGGACACGUGGUAUCCUGUCUGAAUAUGGGGGGACCAUCCUCCAAGGCUAAAUACUCCUGACUGACCGAUAGUGAACCAGUACCGUGAGGGAAAGGCGAAAAGAACCCCGGCGAGGGGAGUGAAAAAGAACCUGAAACCGUGUACGUACAAGCAGUGGGAGCCUCUUUUAUGGGGUGACUGCGUACCUUUUGUAUAAUGGGUCAGCGACUUAUAUUCUGUAGCAAGGUUAACCGAAUAGGGGAGCCGAAGGGAAACCGAGUCUUAACUGGGCGUUAAGUUGCAGGGUAUAGACCCGAAACCCGGUGAUCUAGCCAUGGGCAGGUUGAAGGUUGGGUAACACUAACUGGAGGACCGAACCGACUAAUGUUGAAAAAUUAGCGGAUGACUUGUGGCUGGGGGUGAAAGGCCAAUCAAACCGGGAGAUAGCUGGUUCUCCCCGAAAGCUAUUUAGGUAGCGCCUCGUGAAUUCAUCUCCGGGGGUAGAGCACUGUUUCGGCAAGGGGGUCAUCCCGACUUACCAACCCGAUGCAAACUGCGAAUACCGGAGAAUGUUAUCACGGGAGACACACGGCGGGUGCUAACGUCCGUCGUGAAGAGGGAAACAACCCAGACCGCCAGCUAAGGUCCCAAAGUCAUGGUUAAGUGGGAAACGAUGUGGGAAGGCCCAGACAGCCAGGAUGUUGGCUUAGAAGCAGCCAUCAUUUAAAGAAAGCGUAAUAGCUCACUGGUCGAGUCGGCCUGCGCGGAAGAUGUAACGGGGCUAAACCAUGCACCGAAGCUGCGGCAGCGACACUANNNNNNNNNNNNNNNNNNNNNNNNNNNNNNNNNNNNNNNNNNNNNNNNNNNNNNNNNNNNNNNNNNNNNNNNNNNNNNNNNNNNNNNNNNNNNGGCAUGCUGGAGGUAUCAGAAGUGCGAAUGCUGACAUAAGUAACGAUAAAGCGGGUGAAAAGCCCGCUCGCCGGAAGACCAAGGGUUCCUGUCCAACGUUAAUCGGGGCAGGGUGAGUCGACCCCUAAGGCGAGGCCGAAAGGCGUAGUCGAUGGGAAACAGGUUAAUAUUCCUGUACUUGGUGUUACUGCGAAGGGGGGACGGAGAAGGCUAUGUUGGCCGGGCGACGGUUGUCCCGGUUUAAGCGUGUAGGCUGGUUUUCCAGGCAAAUCCGGAAAAUCAAGGCUGAGGCGUGAUGACGAGGCACUACGGUGCUGAAGCAACAAAUGCCCUGCUUCCAGGAAAAGCCUCUAAGCAUCAGGUAACAUCAAAUCGUACCCCAAACCGACACAGGUGGUCAGGUAGAGAAUACCAAGGCGCUUGAGAGAACUCGGGUGAAGGAACUAGGCAAAAUGGUGCCGUAACUUCGGGAGAAGGCACGCUGAUAUGUAGGUGAAGUCCCUCGCGGAUGGAGCUGAAAUCAGUCGAAGAUACCAGCUGGCUGCAACUGUUUAUUAAAAACACAGCACUGUGCAAACACGAAAGUGGACGUAUACGGUGUGACGCCUGCCCGGUGCCGGAAGGUUAAUUGAUGGGGUCAGCGCAAGCGAAGCUCUUGAUCGAAGCCCCGGUAAACGGCGGCCGUAACUAUAACGGUCCUAAGGUAGCGAAAUUCCUUGUCGGGUAAGUUCCGACCUGCACGAAUGGCGUAAUGAUGGCCAGGCUGUCUCCACCCGAGACUCAGUGAAAUUGAACUCGCUGUGAAGAUGCAGUGUACCCGCGGCAAGACGGAAAGACCCCGUGAACCUUUACUAUAGCUUGACACUGAACAUUGAGCCUUGAUGUGUAGGAUAGGUGGGAGGCUUAGAAGUGUGGACGCCAGUCUGCAUGGAGCCGACCUUGAAAUACCACCCUUUAAUGUUUGAUGUUCUAACGUUGACCCGUGAUCCGGGUUGCGGACAGUGUCUGGUGGGUAGUUUGACUGGGGCGGUCUCCUCCUAAAGAGUAACGGAGGAGCACGAAGGUUGGCUAAUCCUGGUCGGACAUCAGGAGGUUAGUGCAAUGGCAUAAGCCAGCUUGACUGCGAGCGUGACGGCGCGAGCAGGUGCGAAAGCAGGUCAUAGUGAUCCGGUGGUUCUGAAUGGAAGGGCCAUCGCUCAACGGAUAAAAGGUACUCCGGGGAUAACAGGCUGAUACCGCCCAAGAGUUCAUAUCGACGGCGGUGUUUGGCACCUCGAUGUCGGCUCAUCACAUCCUGGGGCUGAAGUAGGUCCCAAGGGUAUGGCUGUUCGCCAUUUAAAGUGGUACGCGAGCUGGGUUUAGAACGUCGUGAGACAGUUCGGUCCCUAUCUGCCGUGGGCGCUGGAGAACUGAGGGGGGCUGCUCCUAGUACGAGAGGACCGGAGUGGACGCAUCACUGGUGUUCGGGUUGUCAUGCCAAUGGCACUGCCCGGUAGCUAAAUGCGGAAGAGAUAAGUGCUGAAAGCAUCUAAGCACGAAACUUGCCCCGAGAUGAGUUCUCCCUGACUCCUUGAGAGUCCUGAAGGAACGUUGAAGACGACGACGUUGAUAGGCCGGGUGUGUAAGCGCAGCGAUGCGUUGAGCUAACCGGUACUAAUGAACCGUGAGGCUUAACCUUACAACGCCGAAGCUGUU
rnacentral:rRNA from 1 species